rnacentral:tRNA from 1 species
GAAUUAUUUUUGGUGUUUUGAAAACACUGAUAGGAGCAUUUGUUCUAUAAUUUU